rnacentral:rRNA from 1 species
AAUUCGAAGCAACGCGAAGAACCUUACCAGGCCUUGACAUGCAGAGAACUUUCCAGAGAUGGAUUGGUGCCUUCGGGAACUCUGACACAGGUGCUGCAUGGCUGUCGUCAGCUCGUGUCGUGAGAUGUUGGGUUAAGUCCCGUAACGAGCGCAACCCUUGUCCUUAGUUACCAGCACGUUAUGGUGGGCACUCUAAGGAGACUGCCGGUGACGAAACCGGAGGAAGGUGGGAUGACGUCAAGUCAUCAUGGCCCUUACGGCCUGGGCUACACACGUGCUACAAUGGUCGGUACAAAGGGUUGCCAAGCCGCGAGGUGGAGCUAAUCCCAUAAAACCGAUCGUAGUCCGGAUCGCAGUCUGCAACUCGACUGCGUGAAGUCGGAAUCGCUAGUAAUCGUGAAUCAGAAUGUCACGGUGAAUACGUUCCCGGGCCUU